rnacentral:ncRNA from 1 species
ACUUGUUUAACUAUGGCAAUAGGAAACGAAUAGUAACUUAGCUGCAUAAAAAUUUUCUUUUUUUAUAAUUUAAGAUUUCAUUUUAAUUAUUAGCAGUUAGUAUUUUGGUAAGAUUUAUGUUUUUUAAGAAGUUACUAUUAAAAGGGGAUAGGACACAGUGCCAGCAUCCGCGGUUAUUCUGUUUUCUUUGUUUUCUUGUGAGUGUUUAAUUAAAUAGAUAGUAGUAAGGUUUAGUGAAAUUUUCUUAGGAUGCUUUAUAUUUAUUUAAUUUAAAGAAUAAUAAUUUAAGUGCGACAGGGAUUAGAUACCCCAUUAGUUGUUAUUUUAAUAAUACUCUGGUUUUAUAACUAAAAUAGUUUGGCAGUGAGUUACUCCCUUCGGGGGAAGGUGCGUUGUAAAGGACGAUCCGCCUAGUAAUUAACCUAUUCAAUGUUGGUGUAUAUCUGGUUAGAUAUUAUUGUUAUAAUAGCAUAAUUAGUGUAAUAACUAUUAAGCCAAGUCUAUGUGCUGCAUGUUUAGGGUAACGUGCGUUACUUUAAUAAUAAUUAUUUUGUAAUAAAUUAGUAAUUUAGGACUCGAUAGUAAUGUUAAAUAAUUAUGUUUACAUGAAAGAGGUUUAACUCAGGUACACACCGCCCGUCACCCUCGAUUAUUAUUGAGGUAAGUCGUAACAUGGUAACCCUAAAUGAAUUUGGGGUUAAUUACGAUCUUAUUU